UAAUUGAAGAGUUUGAUCAUGGCUCAGAUUGAACGCUGGCGGCAGGCCUAACACAUGCAAGUCGAGCGGCAGCACAGAGGAACUUGUUCCUUGGGUGGCGAGCGGCGGACGGGUGAGUAAUGCCUGGGAAAUUGCCCGGUAGAGGGGGAUAACCAUUGGAAACGAUGGCUAAUACCGCAUAACCUCGCAAGAGCAAAGCAGGGGACCUUCGGG
rnacentral:rRNA from 1 species